AGCCAAUCAGGAUGGUUUCAAUCCUGGAGCCAUCUAAGGCUAGUUUUUUCUCGUCAAUGACCAAGAUAGUGGGAACUUUAGGUCCAAGGUCUCGAUCUGUUGAUGUUAUUUCUGGUUGUCUUAAAGCUGGAAUGUCUGUGGCUAGGUUUGAUUUCUCA